AUUGAACGCUGGCGGCAUGCCUUACACAUGCAAGUCGAACGGUAACGCGGGGCAACCUGGCGACGAGUGGCGAACGGGUGAGUAAAGUAUCGGAACGUGCCCAGUAGUGGGGGAUAGCCCGGCGAAAGCCGGAUUAAUACCGCAUGAGACCUAUGGGUGAAAGCGGGGGAUCGCAAGACCUCGCGCUAUUGGAGCGGCCGAUAUCAGAUUAGGUAGUUGGUGGGGUAAAGGCCUACCAAGCCGACGAUCUGUAGCUGGUCUGAGAGGACGACCAGCCACACUGGGACUGAGACACGGCCCAGACUCCUACGGGAGGCAGCAGUGGGGAAUUUUGGACAAUGGGCGCAAGCCUGAUCCAGCCAUGCCGCGUGCGGGAAGAAGGCCUUCGGGUUGUAAACCGCUUUUGUCAGGGAAGAAAUCUUCUGGGUUAAUACCUCGGGAGGAUGACGGUACCUGAAGAAUAAGCACCGGCUAACUACGUG
rnacentral:rRNA from 1 species